GAGUUUGAUCAUGGCUCAGAUUGAACGCUGGCGGCAGGCCUAACACAUGCAAGUCGAGCGGAUGACGGGAGCUUGCUCCUUGAUUCAGCGGCGGACGGGUGAGUAAUGUCUAGGAAUCUGCCUGGUAGUGGGGGACAACGUUUCGAAAGGAACGCUAAUACCGCAUACGUCCUACGGGAGAAAGCAGGGGACCUUCGGGCCUUGCGCUAUCAGAUGAGCCUAGGUCGGAUUAGCUAGUUGGUGGGGUAAUGGCUCACCAAGGCGACGAUCCGUAACUGGUCUGAGAGGAUGAUCAGUCACACUGGAACUGAGACACGGUCCAGACUCCUACGGGAGGCAGCAGUGGGGAAUAUUGGACAAUGGGCGAAAGCCUGAUCCAGCCAUGCCGCGUGUGUGAAGAAGGUCUUCGGAUUGUAAAGCACUUUAAGUUGGGAGGAAGGGCAGUAAGUUAAUACCUUGCUGUUUUGACGUUUACCGACAGAAUAAGCACCGGCUAACUCUGUGCCAGCCGCCG
rnacentral:rRNA from 1 species